CUCAUGUAUUUUGUUUGUAUAAUUUGUUGAAAUGGGAGGAAGAACAAGCAAUCAUAUUAUCUGACAACUUCAGCUUCUAUAAAUUCGUCUUGCUACGAGUCUGGAUUAAAUCGAGUGAAUUUCAUCAACGAAUUGAUUUUUCACCUUGCAAUUUCGGUAUCACAAUGGAAUUGCGCGAUUUCCAGCACAUACCCGAUUUUUUUUCAAUUAUCAUCCAUUAAGAUCUAGACACUUUUGCAUGCGUGUGCACUCUGAUUGAGAUAUCUUUAAAAUAUGUGUUACUCAUCAACGUGACCUUUUUACAUUCGAAAAUAAAAAGAAGUCGUCCGGUGUCAACCGAUAUGAGGUGGUACGGUGGCGGCAUGGUCAGCUGGUCAGCAUUUCAAAAAAAUACACAACCACUUUUGAUGGAUUCGACUCAUCUUUAAACACCCAUAUAUACGACUUCUGCUUACUUUCAGGUUAACUUUUGCAGUCAAUUGUUUAUGCAAUUCUAAAUGUAUGCAGGUCCAACUAAUAUCUAUAAUUGUUUAAAUCUCACGAUAAGUCACAUAACGAUCUUGUCAUAGAAGUUUGUUCAAUAAUUUCCGGAAAAGCAACUUAUUUCGGACGACCUUCACGAAAUUAUUGUUGGAGUGAUUUACGACCUUGAUUGAAUUCACACACCAUCGACAAACACUGGUCAACGCAAAAUUUGAAUUAAGCUCGUCGAUGUAUUACUGAGUUAAUCUAAUUAUUUCGAAAAUAUGCCACGAAAGUGUUCUGAAACAUCGACAGUUUCAGUUAUGUGAGUGGAGAAUUACUUUUAUCAUUAAUUGAACGGCGGCCGCGAUAGCCAAGCGGUUAGCAUUGCUUGCUGCCAUUUGGAAGAUGAGGGUUAGUGUCUUGGUACGACCACCAAGAAAAAAUAAUUUAAAUAAGACUUUAAGUUAAAUUUUUCUGAUUGCGUUAGACCCUUGGCAGUGAAUGUCAAGCCUCCUUGUCGUUGAUUCGCUUGCGAAUUUAACAAAAGUAAUAAAUUUUAAAUAAUUUCGA